rnacentral:rRNA from 1 species
AGAGUUUGAUCCUGGCUCAGGACGAACGCUGGCGGCGUGCUUAACACAUGCAAGUCGAACGAGACGAUUGAAAGCUUGCUUUUGAAAGUCGAGUGGCAAACGGGUGAGUAACGCGUAGACAACCUGCCGUAAAGAUGGGGACAACAGUCCGAAAGGACUGCUAAUACCGAAUGUUGUGGAACUUCCGCAUGGGGGCUCCACUAAAGAUGGCCUCUACUUGUAAGCUAUCGCUUUACGAUGGGGCUGCGUCUGAUUAGCUAGUUGGUGGGGUAACGGCUUACCAAGGCGACGAUCAGUAGCCGGUCUGAGAGGAUGAACGGCCACAUUGGAACUGAGACACGGUCCAGACUCCUACGGGAGGCAGCAGUGGGGAAUCUUCCGCAAUGGGCGCAAGCCUGACGGAGCAACGCCGCGUGAGUGAAGAAGGGUUUCGACUCGUAAAGCUCUGUUGUCGGGGACGAAUGUGGAGAUGGUGAAUAACCAUUUUCAAUGACGGUACCUGACGAGGAAGCCACGGCUAACUACGUGCCAGCAGCCGCGGUAAUACGUAGGUGGCGAGCGUUGUCCGGAAUUAUUGGGCGUAAAGGGAGCGCANGCGGGAGGUCAAGUCUAUCUUAAAAGUGCGGGGCUCAACCCCGUGAGGGGAUGGAAACUGGUCUUCUUGAGUGCAGGAGAGGAAAGCGGAAUUCCUAGUGUAGCGGUGAAAUGCGUAGAUAUUAGGAGGAACACCAGUGGCGAAGGCGGCUUUCUGGACUGUAACUGACGCUGANCUCGAAAGNNUGGGNANCGANNNNUUAGAUACCCUNNNGUCCACGCCNUUAACGAUGAUGCUAGGNGUAGGANGNNUC